rnacentral:rRNA from 1 species
UGGGGGAUAUUGCACAAUGGGCGAAAGCCUGCUGCAGCGACGCCGCGUGGGGGAUGAAGGCCUUCGGGUUGUAAACUUCUUUUGCUCUGAACAAGGCGCACCAUGGGGUGUGUUGAGUGUAGGGGUUGAUUAGCGCCGGCUAACUACGUGCCAGCAGCCGCGGUAAUACGUAGGGCGCGAGCGUUGUCCGGCAUUAUUGGGCGUAAAGGGCUUGUAGGUGGCUGGUUGCGUCUGUCGUGAAAGCUCAUGGCUUAACUGUGGGUUUGCGGUGGGUACGGGCUGGCUUGAGUGCAGUAGGGGAGGCUGGAAUUCCUGGUGUAGCGGUGGAAUGCGCAGAUAUCAGGAGGAAUACCGGUGGCGAAGGCGGGUCUCUGGGCUGUUACAGACACUGAGGAGCGAAAGCAUGGGGAGCGAACAGG